rnacentral:lncRNA from 1 species
UGUCCCCGCGAGUCGCCGCCCACUCGACGUCCUUCGGCCCGAUCAAACAGGGCAGUAGCCCCCCCCGCCCUCUCUAAAAGCUAAGUUCUUAUAUCUCUAAUGUGAAAUUCCAUAGAUAUUGUUGUGUGGUGAGGUUCUUUUGGUAGUGGCAAUAUGAACUCAUGAAUAUGAACUCAUGUUCUUUAUAAUCUGAACAUAGGAUGGAAUAUUGAUAUAUGGUGAUAUAAUGUGGUUGUGUUACUCUACUCUGUAUUCUGCAUUCUUAUGGAAAUUAACUGAAAUGUGUUGUUGGUUUUGAGCAUGUAACAUAAGCUUGAAGUAAGUGAGGUGAUGAAUACCUUAAUGUUUGGUUGGCUGUUGUUGAGGUACUAGAUGAACUGGAAUAGCUCUGAAAUAAUUCAAGAUUGCUGUUCUUGUAUUAAUGCAGGUGGAAUGUGGAAGAAAUUGGG